UCAAAAAUAGAAAUCUAAAAAUUGAAUAUUUUGAAAACGUGGACAAAUGAUGCAAUGUCGAAUUGUCGAUCCGUUACCAAGUUUAUCGAUCAAAUUCUGAAUAAUAUAUUGAAAUGAUGCACGAGAUAUUUGAGGCUAUAUAUAUUUAGGGAUUUUAAUGUGUUAAUUAAUGCAUGGUACUAGGUGAUAUAUAGAGAGGUCCGGAACCUCGUUUUCUAAUUAACUAGCUAGUAAUUACCAUUAAUUAUCCAGCUAGAAUCCUUGAAGUUCGAAAGAUCCUAUUUACUCGCACAAAUUGGAUUCCACUUCACAUGGGCUCCACUCUCCACACUCCCCCAGUUCUAUAUAUCUUCUUCCCCAACCCAAACCCUUCAUCAAACUGCUUUCUUCUCUAGAUCUUAGCUUCCCAAAGAACAAGUUAUAAUUGGUUAUAUAAACCCCCUUUCUUGAAACCUCUUUAUGUGUUUUCAUCCUUCAUUUGAUUAUUUCCUUUUAUAUAUCUUUAUGUUUUUUCUCUUAUUUGAGCAUCGAGUUUACCUCGUCCUCAGUUAUGAAACACAAAAUAUAUAUAUUGGUUCAUAAAUCUUUAGAAAAUCCAUUUUCAAAAACUAAGAUGACAAACAAGUAGUAAUUAAUCAUAUACUUCUGUCAUGUAUAUUGUUUGUGGGUAUUCUUCCUUCUUUCUUUAAUCGUUUUCAUAGAUUUAGGGUUUUUUAAACUAAUUCAACUAGCUAACUUCACAUCAACAUAUAUUUUGAAGCCAUAAUGUCAUUGUUUACAGGUGCGGCAUCAUCAAGAUUCACAUGGUUGCCCUAUAUAUAUGUAAAUCUUUGGGAAAUGAGAAUCUUGAUGAUGCUGCAUCAGAAAUCAAUUGACUGUAUCGAUCGCAAUUCAAUACAAGAAUACAACGGCUAGAUCUACGACCUACCUUACACAAACAAGGGUUUUACAAACUUGACAGUAAAGUUAGAGAUCUCGAUUUGAGGUUUGUACUCUUUUUUCGAAAGCGAAACCACAUACGAGGAGAUAAGUUUUCUAUUUGGUAUGUAGAUUCAUAAACUGCAUGUUGUGAUGAAGGAGUCUCAACCCCAUGUAUUUUUCAUUGAAAAGAAUCUAUAACACUGUAUUGAAGUUUUUUUUAGAAAGUAUUUUUAUGCUUUUACAUAUAUUUGUGUUUUUUCUUUUGUAUAUAUCUUUUAUUAACUGUUUUGCUUAUGGUGUACAAAGACUUGAAUGGUUUUAAAUCUUUGUACACCAUCGAGGGGUUUAGAUUUAUUUGUUCUUUUCGGAAUGGUAAAAUUUGUUAUGAAUUUGAAAGCGGAAGCUCUCUAAAAUGUAUGUAUAAUAAAAGGUCCAACUUGAAUGCAGCUAAUUAAAAUUUUCUCUUCUCUAUAUCGGGUUUAAGUUGGUCUUUUCUUCUGCUUCUGUACUAUGUCUCGUCGGUUUGUCUUGAAAACCCGUCAUGUAAAUUAUUUGAUUUCCUUUGUGCAUAUAUAUAUGUGUAAUUAACUGCUUUGUAUGUCCAUGAUAUUCUUUAGGCGUCUUUUACUUUGGAUUCUAAAAAUAUGUAUUUGUGUGAGAGAGAUAGAUGGACAGAAAUAUUGAGAGGAAAACCCGAACAACUUAGAAGACUAAUGAAGUGGAUCUGGAUGAUUAGAAUGUGCUGAUUUGAGGUUAGAUACUAAUGUGGGAAAUGUUUGGAUCGAUAUACUAAUGGGAAUUUACAAUUUAUGAGGGAUUCCAACGUUAGUAUGGCUUGAUCAAUUCUUUGGAUCAAUAGCUUGUACUGUAGUAAAUGAUUUCCAUUUCUAUAAGGUGAAGAUAUAUAAUACAUUACUACAUAAAAGGGGCAAUUUUCGAAGGCAAAUCUGUCACUAUCCGUCAGCAAAAUCAUUGAUGGUUAUUUUCUUAUGACGUUACCGAUGGAUCAUUUUUUAUACAUAUUUCAGACGGGUAAUCUUUAGAGACAUUAUAUGGAUGAUUUAGAGACAUACUUACAUCAUUAAUUUGUUGGUACGUAAAAUAGCAGUUUGCAAAAAAGACAUUAUAGAUGUAAAUGUUUUGUAGUCAUUUUUAACUUGCAAAUGUUGGUUGGUUAGCCUCUGUUCUAAUUACAAUAUGUUAAAUAAGUUGUGUAAAUUGUAAUAGGUUUAUCUCUCAAAUGAUAGUAAAUAUUUUCUAUAUUCACAUUUUUUUUACCUUCAAAUGAUGUAAUAAGUUGUUGGUUAGCGUUUGUUGUAAUUACAAUAUGUUUUUCACUUGUAUAUGUAAGUUUCUAUA